rnacentral:rRNA from 1 species
AGGACGAACGCUGGCGGCGUGCUUAACACAUGCAAGUCGAGCGGAAAGGCCCUUCGGGGUACUCGAGCGGCGAACGGGUGAGUAACACGUGAGUAACCUGCCCCUAGCUCCGGGAUAGCUCCGGGAAACCGGAAUUAAUACCGGAUGUGAUCACGGCCGACAUCGGCCACGAUGGAAAGAUUCAUCGGCUAGGGAUGGGCUCGCGGCCUAUCAGCUUGUUGGUGGGGUAACAGCCUACCAAGGCGACGACGGGUA